rnacentral:rRNA from 1 species
GUGUUCCUACGGGAGGCAGCAGUGAGGAAUAUUGGUCAAUGGUCGGGAGACUGAACCAGCCAAGCCGCGUGAGGGAGGAAGGUACAGAGUAUCGUAAACCUCUGUUGUAAGAGGAAAACGGUAAUGAUAGGGAAUGAUCAUUAAGUGAUGGUAUCUUACGAGGAAGCCACGGCUAACUACGUGCCAGCAGCCGCGGUAAUACGUAGGUGGCAAGCGUUAUCCGGGAUGAUUGGGCGUAAAGGGUGCGCAGGCGGAUGUAUAAGUCUGAAGUAAAAGCCAUCGGCUCAACCGAUGUAAGCUUUGGG